rnacentral:rRNA from 1 species
GAAAGUAAGCAAGGGCAGACGGUGGAUGCCUUGGCUCUCGGAGGCGAUGAAGGACGUGAUAAGCUGCGAUAAGCUUGGGGUAGGUGCAAAUAACCUUUGAUCCCAAGAUUUCCGAAUGGGGCAACCCGGCUGGUAGAAGGCCAGUCAUUCCGUAAGGAAAGCGAACGUGGGGAACUGAAACAUCUAAGUACCCAUAGGAGAAGAAAACAAAAGUGAUUCCGCAAGUAGUGGCGAGCGAACGCGGAACAGCCCAAACCGAUGUUGUUUAGGCAAUAUCGGGGUUGUAGGACCACGCCAUGGCAAGUGAUUAAGGAAGUAGAACGUUUUGGAAAAAACGGCCGUAGACGGUGAAAGCCCAGUAUACGACUCCUUAAUGAAGCCUAGUGGUAUCCUGAGUAGCGCGGAGCACGAGAAAUUCUGUGUGAACCAGCGGGGCCCAUCCCGUAAGGCUAAAUACUCCCGAGAGACCGAUAGCGAACCAGUACUGUGAAGGAAAGGUGAAAAGCACCUCGAACAGAGGAGUGAAAUAGUCCCUGAAACCGUCUGCCUACAAGCGGUCGGAGCAAUCUUUUGGUUGUGACGGCGUGCCUUUUGCAUAAUGAACCUACGAGUUACUUUCUCCGGCAAGGUUAAGGACUUCAGGUCCGGAGCCGAAGCGAAAGCGAGUCUUAAAAGGGCGGUAUAGUCGGAGUGAGUAGACGCGAAACCAAGUGAUCUACCCUUGGUCAGGAUGAAGGUUGGGUAACACCAACUGGAGGUCCGAAUGGGUAUACGUUGAAAAGUGUUCCAAUGAACUGAGGGUAGGGGUGAAAGGCUAAUCAAACUUGGAGAUAGCUCGUACUCCCCGAAAUGCAUUUAGGUGCAGCCUUUAUAUAGUAUAUAAUGAGGUAGAGCGACUGAUUGGAUGCGAGGGCUUCACCGCCUAUCAAGUCCAGAUAAACUCCGAAUGCGUUAUAUAUAUUUAUAAGGAGUGAGGGCGCGGGUGCUAAGGUCCGCGUCCGAGAGGAGAAGAAUCCAGACCAUCAGCUAAGGUCCCCAAAUAACAGUUAAGUUGAACUAACGAAGUCAGACUGCAGAGACAGCUAGGAUGUUGGCUUGGAAGCAGCCAUUCAUUUAAAGAGUGCGUAACAGCUCACUAGUCGAGGAGUCUGGCGUGGAUAAUACUCGGGCAUAAACUGUUUACCGAAGCUAUGGAUCUCGUAUGAGAUGGUAGGGGAGCAUUCCAUGUACGUCGAAGGUGAGGGAUGACCCUUGCUGGAGUGUAUGGAAACGCAAAUGUAGGUAUAAGUAACGAUAAAGGAGGUGAGAAACCUCCUCGCCGAAAGACUAAGGUUUCCUGAUCAACGUUAAUCGGAUCAGGGUAAGUCGGGACCUAAGGAUAAGCCGAACGGCGAUUCCGAUGGAAGAAUGGUUUAAUAUUCCCAUACUACUUUAUGGAGCGAUGUGGAGACGGAGAAGUGACAGUCCUGCCAUCUGACGGAAUAGAUGGUUAAAGGGUGUAGAUGUAGAUCGAAGUAGGCAAAUCCGCUUUGAGAGUCGAACCUGACAGUAUGCCGCGUACUUGUACAAGGCAAUAUGGACGUAAUCAGGCUCCCUAGAAAAUCCGCUAAGCAAAUUCAUAAAGUACCCGUACCGUAAACGGACACACGUAGUUGGGUUGAAAAUACUGAGGCGCUCGAGUGAUUCACGGUUAAGGAACUAGGCAAAUUGACCCUGUAACUUCGGGAUAAAGGGUCCCUACCCUUUUAUGGGAGGGCGCAGAGAAUCGGUCCAGGCAACUGUUUAACAAAAACACAGGGCUGUGCGAAAUAGAAAUAUGAAGUAUACAGCCUGACACCUGCCCGGUGCUGGAAGGUUAAGAGGAGAUGUCAUCGCAAGAGAAGCAUUGAAUUGAAGCCCCAGUAAACGGCGGCCGUAACUAUAACGGUCCUAAGGUAGCGAAAUUCCUUGUCGGGU